rnacentral:lncRNA from 1 species
CCCGGCCACCUGCGUGGAAGGUUGGAGUGUUAACCACUCGACCAAUCCGCCCAUAGUACUUUUAAAACAUGUGUUUAUCCUGCAGUAAGCCCAGGGGGCCAACCAAUAAUCUCUGGCUUGAAGUAGUAGGGAAAUAGGUUUAUUACAGAUUCGUUGGCAUGUUUGCACUGAACUACAGUAAUUAUGGAUGGGCUUAUUACCAGGCAUGGGCUUACUGUUGGAUAAGUACAAGUACUCCAGUACAAAUCUGAUUUUGUCAUGAAUGUCUUUUUUAAGUAAUGGUAUGCAUAUACUGUUUAGAGGUUUAAACUUUUGACAUUUUUGGUCUUGGUGAAUGCCAAUUCUUUAUGAUGCCCAAAACAGGUUCUCAAGAGAGGGACUAGUGUAGGCCAGAUUCAUUAUAAUUUAUGUGUACAUAUUCUCCUUGACGUGAAAAUUUCUCUGAAUAAAAUAACUCAUUCACUAGUACUCCUGUCAAGACGCAUUUGAGCUCUUCCAAUUUAAAGGUUGGAAUAGUUCAUUAUGAAAUUUUAAGGGUGAAUGAGUGAAGUACUCUAAUCUGAACAUUUUUCCUUUAGUGAAAUACUUUUUCAUUCCAUGCAUUUGAAAUCUAAUAAUUAGUUUUAAAAAAUUGAAACAGUGUAGUUAUACAGUUAGAAAGUAGUGAAUUUGUACAUAUCUGUUGAUGUAAUCUUCUGUGUGAAAAAAAUGAGUUUCAUGACGGUCUUGAAAGGUAUGAAAGUAAGAUGUAAAAAUAUUCUCUUAAAUAAUGAGAAAAACUGUAAAUUUCCCUUAACAUAAAUUGGGUACCCAACAGACUUCUCUACAUAUAAUUCUAAUAUUUCUAGUAUGAAGAAAAGUAUACACACUUUAUAUAGUAUGAAAAACUAGACUCACAUGGAAUGAAUAUGGAUUUAAACAAGGAAAGGUAAAUAUUUUAGAUUAAAUUUGAUGUGUGAAUAAUUUCUAAAAUACAAAUUUCAGAACCUUGUCUAUGUAAAUACAUGCACACGUAAUAUUUGGCAGUUAUUUUGAACAAAUCUUUCUAUUUUUGUGUACCGGUUACCUUUUUUUUAAAACCAGUCUCAAUAAGAACAAUUUAUGUGUUAUAUUUUAUGAAGUAUUUCUACAUAAUGUGUAGCAGUGUUUCUGGUAUUGAUUGAUACUGCUUUUCUAUAUAAUACAGUUAUAUGUAUAUAAUUAUGUUAAUUUCAAUAAUUUUUGGCAAACUGUUUAACCUGCUGACACUUCCUUUUAUUUACAUUUUUAUACACCUUCACAUAGACAAUAUUAUUUCCUUAUGCAGUACGUAUUGGGGUAAAAAAUGAUGUAUCUGAUGAUGUAUGUAUUGUAUUGUUUAAAUUUCGUCACCAUAGCUAUUGCAUGACUGUAGUAUUCGUCUUGAUUUUGUAAAAUGUGCAGCUUAAAGAUCGUUCGGACAUUUAAUAUGUCUAGCUGCACUGUUGCUAUCAUUGAAGAAUUCUGUUAUACGUUUUCGGAGUUACCUGCCCCUUGCAUCCGAGAUCCCCACCCGUUGUUAUUAACGUAAUAACAGGAAAUGAUCACAGGGACCUGAGAAUUUGUUACAGCUAUAUUUGGACCUAAACUAAGGUAUUAAUAUAAUCAUUGGGGGGGUGUCGUUUUUACCGAAAGUCGAUCUAAACCCCUAAAACAUGUAAAAUUACUCUGAACACCUUAUUUUAGGUCCAAAUAUAGCUGUAACAAACCUUUCUCAGGUCCCUCUUGAAAUGAUCAGCUGUUUAAACUGCGUUCAGUUUUGUGCAAUACUGCAAUACAAUUUGUCAAAACUCCUGAACUCAAUACAUCCAAAGAUUAGAUAUUUUAGCUGCAUUCUUCAAAUUCAAUCAGGGAUUAUUUCUCGAAUCUCCAAUUUUAGAAAGUAUAUAUAUAAACACACGACUGACUGAUCAGGAGGCUUGGCGUUAAUCUUUUACAAUGUUAAAUAUGGUGUCAAAACUUGAAAAUACCUCAGUUUGUUUUUGAAUUUCUAUCCCUAUAUAUUGUAGGCGUCAUGUUAAAUUUCUGCAAGAUCUGGUGUAAGACAUUUAAGUGCCAUAUUUCUUCUACAUGUAUCAAUGUUUAUGUGAUGAUAUUCACAUGGGUACCGAGUAAUCUUAAUUAUUUUAUAAUCUAAAUCAGUACAUUUUCUAUAUCCAUGCAUAGAUAAUAUUUUUUCCCCUUCAAUAUCAAAUUCAAGAUCAAGAUUAUCAAGGAUUGAUUUUUUCAUGCAAUAUAAGAUGUAAAUUUAAUACAGUAUUUAUCAACUACAGUUUAUGUUUAUAAAGAAACCGUUUAUUUAUGUGAUGUACUGAAAUGAUCUGACCUUCUAAUGGGUUUGAAUUAAGAAUUGACCUCCCAAUUAAUAAUUAAUGGAGAAAGAUUUUUAUCAGGUGUUGAUCUGGGCUCCAAAAUCGUCUUAAUAAUUCUUUGUAUUCCUCAGAAAAGUCUCAACAUAUUGAAAUUCUAAGGCCCCUGUGAAAAACAUCUUCAUUCUCGGGUCCCUGUGGUAAACCUCUCAGUUAUCAAGUCCCUGUGGUAAACCUCUCCAGUUAUCAAGUCCCUGUGGUAAAUGUCUUGAUUCUCAGGUCCAUGAACACUUGCGGCAAUAAAAACCUGCAUUCUUUUUCAAGAAGAUAAGACUAGAUGACUAGGGAAAUCUGUUUCCUGUAUGCAAAGUUAUAUACAACCUGGAUGUUGGUUACAAGCCAAUAUCAAAUCACUUUGUUAUGACAAAUGUCAUAUAUUUCUUGGUAUGUUCAAAUAUUUGUGGAUGUUGUAUGGUUGAUUCUUGUUUCAUGUAUAUGAAUUAUAUGUUGGUAUAGUGAAGCCUCUUCAUCAAUCCACCACUGAUAAUACCAGUAUAGUCAGGUUUCAUUGGUCUGACUGACUUUAAUUUACAGUCAGAUUAAACUGUGCAAAACUUGUAAUAUGUACAAUGUACCAUGGAUAGUGCAGUUUCUAUGGCCAUCAAGACUAAGUGAUCGGGGUCUACCACUACCCAGUGACUUCAGCACAGGGAAAAGAAAACACUCACCGACUACAUAGUCAUGGCUUGCUGCACAGUAAUUUGUUCUAUAUUCUCUACCUAAGGGACAUUGAGGUCAGGGUUUAUCCCAUGGGACAUUGAGGUCAGGGUUGAUCCCAUGGGACAUUGAGGUCAGGGUUUAUCCUCUGGGGGAUGUUGAGGUCAGGGUUGCUCCUCUGGGGGAUGUUGAGGUCAGAGUUGAUCCCAUGGGACAUUGAGGUCAGGGUUGAUCCCAUGGGACAUUGAGGUCAGGGUUGAUCCUCUGGGACAUUGAGGUCAGGGUUUAUCCUCUGGGGGAUGUUGAGGUCAGGGUUUAUCCUCUGGGGGAUGUUGAGGUCAGGGUUGAUCCCAUGGGACAUUGAGGUCAGGGUUGAUCCUCUGGGACAUUGAGGUCAGGGUUUAUCCUCUGGGGGAUGUUGAGGUCAUAAUUGAUCCCCUGUUGGAUGCUGAGGUCAGGGCUAGUCCUCAGUGGGAAGUUGAGGUCAGAGUGGAUCAUCUGAGAGACAUUGAGGUCAGGGUUGAUCCUCUCGGGGUGAACGAGUAUGUAUGUUGGUGUUGAUCUGCAGCAGUUCUUUUCACCGAUAUAUUUUACUAUUUUUGAAACAAUGGUACCAUCCUUACCUCGUUAAAUAUAGAAUGCACGUUUUGUAUGAUGGUGAAAAGAUGAAGAAGUGGCUGUUACACCGGUGUUAAUGUGUCUAGAUAUUCCCUGUAUAUUGGUUGUGACCAGUUAUAAACUAUCAUAGAAGCCAUCUCCGGCUGUGAAUAAUUGUUUGUUUGCAUUAAUGAUUAAAAGUUCUCUUUUUAUC